rnacentral:rRNA from 1 species
AGAGUUUGAUCAUGGCUCAGAUUGAACGCUGGCGGAAUGCUUUACACAUGCAAGUCGAGCGGCAGCGCGGGGCAACCUGGCGGCGAGCGGCGAACGGGUGAGUAAUGCAUCGGAACAUGUCCAUGUCGUGGGGGAUAGCCCGGCGAAAGCCGGAUUAAUACCGCAUACGCCCGAGAGGGGAAAGUGGGGGACCGCAAGGCCUCACGCGAUUGGGUUGGCCGAUGUCCGAUUAGCUAGUUGGCGGGGUAAGAGCCCACCAAGGCGAUGAUCGGUAGCUGGUCUGAGAGGAUGAUCAGCCACACUGGGACUGAGACACGGCCCAGACUCCUACGGGAGGCAGCAGUGGGGAAUUUUGGACAAUGGGGGCAACCCUGAUCCAGCCAUUCCGCGUGAGUGAAGAAGGCCUUCGGGUUGUAAAGCUCUUUUGUCCGGAACGAAACGGAUACGUCUAAUACGCGUGUCUACUGACGGUACCGGAAGAAUAAGCACCGGCUAACUACGUGCCAGCAGCCGCGGUAAUACGUAGGGUGCGAGCGUUAAUCGGAAUUACUGGGCGUAAAGCGUGCGCAGGCGGUUUUGUAAGCCAGAUGUGAAAGCCCCGGGCUUAACCUGGGAAUGGCAUUUGGGACUGCAAGGCUUGAGUGCGGCAGAGGAGACUGGAAUUCCUGGUGUAGCAGUGAAAUGCGUAGAUAUCAGGAGG